UUUGGGUUACAUUUCCUCACACCCGACCCGAGAACCUAAAAUUUCCCAAAUACCCAAUCUUCUUCCUCUCAUUUUAGAAAAGAAACCCUAAAAACUCCAAUCUGCGUAUUUAUUUCUUCUCCAUUGUCUCAGCAACCAAACGGAGCACUUUAUCAUAAGAACACUGAGUAACUAGCCGGGUUGAAGAAGCGUAGCUGUGAGUGUGAUUUUGAUACAGCAAAGCGGACCCGAACGGAGUGUUGAAAUCCGAAAUAUUGGCUUCCUUUUGAUCAUGCUUCUGUGGUGUCCAUCAAUCUAUUUGUGGCACUCCUUUGUGGUUGCAUUGUGAUUGGUCAUCUUCUUGAGGAGAACCAGUGGGUGAAUGAGUCAAUCACUGCCCUUGUGAUUGAGUUUUUGGAGCAUCAAAGUACAAGUCUGUCAAGGUCCUAGAUGAUGCCAUUAAGUUACUUUGAGAGUAUUCCAAUAGAAACUAGAGAUCUCUUUGUUAUACACCUUCUUGAUGUUUUUGAUGACAGCAGAAGCUCAGGAUUUGGGCUAAUCAAUAAGAAGGGUUUUGGUUCUAAUGGAGAAAGCAAGUCAAACAGGAAAAGCAAAGAGAAGUCAAGGAAAAGGUUGAGGAGUUGAUCUUAGAGGUUGGAGUUCCAAAAUCACGUUUUUCUUUCUGGUCCCUGAAUCUAGAGAAGUGUGUGAAAUUCCGUGUCCUUUAACAUUAUUACCUUGAAGUUUUGUUGCAGACCCAAAACAGCUGGGGAUAAGGCCUUGUGCUGAGUACUGGUGCAAGGGGUUCUUCGUUGGGGAAGAAGAGUGUUAGAACACUCCCUUUAUAUUAAUUCCAAAGACAAACUAUUUGAAAAUUCCACCUGCAUUCAAGCAUGCAUUUAUAUGAAAUAUGCAUGUACCAUUUGGUUCUUGUUCAUUCUCCUUUGUGAACCCUAGAGGUUCAUUUAGAUGUUGAUGCUGCUGCUGCAAGGAUGGCAUCAAGAAGGGCUUGGAACUAGAUAAUCGUUUUGUCUCAAUGUGGCCAGUUUCCUUUAAUGAUUGGAGCGUCUGCAAAAUCUUGUGUCCAUGGAGACAACAAUGGAAAUUUCUCCUCAUCCCCAACUUUUAAGCCAACAAUCUCUUCCAAUAUGCUAAUCAAGUUAGCGAGCCAACCCAAGGCAAGGUCAAGAAACAUGGUCGUCUCUCCACCAAAGGACAUUUUUCCCUUCAACUUUUCUUCCAAGAACUUCAGGUGGAGAUUAAAAAUAGCUGAUAAAUAUGACAGAGGAUUCAGUGGACUUUUGAUGAAGGGCAGGUUGACGGUAAAAAAGGUGUUGGAAGUAUGAUAUUUGCCUGAAGAGCUUAGCAUACCUGUAGCAAAAAUGGGGAAAAUCUUAAUCUUGCUGUAAGUACCAUUUUGAUACCUUUGCUUAUUUUACAAAUCUGAAUCAUUGACCAAUUCAUGCUUUUCCUGCUUUUGACUUGUCCAUUAAUUUUUUUGGUUGUUGUGAAGUAACUCUUAGGUAUCAUGACAUAGCAUAAUAAGAACUGCCAUCAUUUCGCUUAUCUCGGUGUGGAGACUUCCUGAUACAAAAUUCACAUAUUCAACUUACCAACUUUCUUCUGGAUGGUUAUGUUGUCUCAAACAAUGGUAUGAAGAGGAAAUGACAAGGCCUGAAUCUUUUAUUGGGUCAAUUUGGAAAAAAUACCUACCAAAUAUAAGCCCUUUGCUUGCAUGUGUGUGCAUUGACACACAUGUGAGUGAAGAUAUAAUCUAGAGUCCAAGGACUUUGUCCUAUAUAGGUUCCUUAUAUCUUGUAAACUAGGCUUUCUAGUUUUACCUUUUAGUAAAUUUGGAUUUUGAAUUGGAUGCAACAGGCAACCAGUUACUCUAGUUGGUAAGCCAUGCAUGGAGAAAGUUGCAAAGUCAGUUUCUAAUUUAAAAAAAUAAAAAGAUAAAAAAGUUGCAAAUUCAGUUGGACGAUGAAUUUCAGGAUGACAUCUUACGUGGGAUCAUAUGUAGCACAUAUAUAUCCUGUGUAUGUACCUAUUAAGAGUAUUAGAGGCUGUAAUGCAUAUUUGCAGGUAUGUUUAUCAUAUGAUCCAUAUACACUUUUGUGUGUGUGUAUAUAUUUCGUUGACAUCUAAUGGAAUUUUGAUGUUCAUUUUUUGUAAGAAAUAUUUGAGGCACAAAAAUGUUUCAUCAUUCAUGGCCAUUGAGUUGGAAUGCCACCAAAGAUAAUAUUUGAUCACAGAUGUAGAUCAUCGAAUUCAUUAACCCACACCUUUCCUUGGGCAGCAGCUGCACAUAAGCAAGGGAUAAGCAAACAACUGGAAAUUUAGAGCAUCAAGAUCAAUGUUGUUGCUAGAACUAAUGGAUUAUUGUUAAUCAUGCUGCCAUAUUCUGGUCGGCUUUGAUUAAAUUUAGACAGAGCAUACCUGUUGCACUAUGCUCUCCAAGAUAAUCAUGCUAUAAUGACAAAUUCCGCAAUGUUCCUUAGAUUUAUCAGUAUUAAAAAAAUUUAAGAGAGUGAUAUUUAAAAUGAUUUGUUGUACAUUUGACAGAAUGAAUUAACAUAUAGGAUAAGGAUGACAUUGGGACAUAGUUAACUGAAAAAUGGAGAUUAGAAAUGCUCUGGAGUAUGAGGCAAUUGCAAAGGAAAAAUGGCCUGACAUGGUGUUUGACUAAUGUGCAUCUGGUGCAGAGGACCACUGGACUCUGUUUGAGAAUAGGCAUGUGUUUUCAAGAAUCCUUAAUCCUUUUUAUCUUUAUCCAUAAAAGCUACUGCUAAUACUAAAUCAUUCCACUAUAAACGUUUGGUUCAAUGCUUUACAUAUCAUUUAAUAUUAACAAACUUGUAGAAAUUUAUAUAGCUGUUCUUUGCAAAAUUUUCUUUUUAUUGAAUUAUAGGUUUCAACUCACAUUCUUAUUGAUGUACGCAAGAUAAACUUGGCCAAGGUCCUAUGUUGUGAGGCGAGGCACUAUUUCUUAUCUUUUAAAUAUUUACGAAAGCCUAGUUUUUCAGUAAAAAAAAAGGUGGCAGGUGGAGACGAAGGAGAGAAAAGGAGAAGGGUUCUUCAAUCACUGACUCAAAGAGAAACCUGGGAGAAUUUCCAGAAGCACAAUGACAGAAGAAUCCACCCCAACCCAUAGGCCUUCCGCUUUGAUGAUGCUCCUCUGAACCUCAAUUUUCCUUCGCUUUCCUCAGCUGCCAAACAGGUCAGACCCAUCAAUUUUCCCUCUGUUUUCUCGACUUUUCUUCCCUCAAAGCCGUGAAUAUCUGCCAUUUUUAUUUUUUUUAUUCUCUCAACUCUCUGCAACAAAAAAGAGGAAAAAAUAGGAUUUUUUGGUUGUUUUGUUUGGGGUUUGUGGAGAUUGUUGAUCGCGUUGGUGUCUGGUUUAUUUGAAAGAAAUGGGAUCGAAAGAAAAGGGGAGAAGAGGGCUGUUCAAUUUUAUCGUUCUUCUCUACCAUAGGAAUGUUUGGGGGCGAGAAUUUGAGAUGAGGCUCACUUGUUUGGUUCAGAAAUUUGGGUUUGUCUUUGUACUCGUCUGGCUUCUGAUUGGGGAUUGUUGUGAUAUUGAAUAAUUUGGCAAAUGUGAUGUGGGUUUAUCUGGAAUUUUUUUUAGUUUAGCAUUUGAUGAAUGAAAAAGGUAGAGGACAUGGAAGAAGGUGAUGAGAUUAUGCAAGAAGGAAAAUUCUAUGGUGCAAGAAUUGCACUUGUA